CACUGAUUCCAAAGCCUUGUGCUCAAUUCCCAUACUUAGCUAUUCUCUACUUCCUGUGACUGCUGCCUUAGGCCUCAGCCUCCGUGGGAAGCAAAGCAAUAGUCGCUACAACCUGGAAGUCCUGGGAUCUACCCCUGCCACUGGUGCAAAGAUUUUUAUAAAUCAUUUUCCUGAGUUCCUCAAGAGUAUGUGAAAGGACUUCUUCUUCAUUCAUUCCUUGUUUCUGCAUUCAUUGCUUUUGUUUCUCUUCCCCAAUUAGUCACUCAUUCUGUUGCAGGAAAGAUCAAAUAAGAAGGUAUGUCAUUUUCAAUCAUAUCAUUGUCUUUUACACAUGUGUUUCUCAAUUUGAAUAAAUGGCAUUAUGCUAUAGACAUCAUCUUUUUUUUUUAAACUAAGUACUAUUAAGAUCUGUCCAUGUCACUAUGUGGAAAUGUGGCUCCUUGCUUCUAAUUGUUGCAUAGUGUUCUUGAGCGUCCACCCGUCUCAUUUUAUAAAUCCAUCCCCUCAAUGCUGGUAAACAGUGGCCUCUAACUCCCAGUUACUGCAUGUAACAUUGUAGUAGACAUCCUCAUUCAUAUCCCCUUUAAAAGAGGUUCUCCUUAAUCAUUUGAAGUUGUCAGAAUCUCCUCAACCUAGUAUAACCAAAAAGAUAUCUAAUGAAGAAAAUUCAUUAUUUUUUAAUUACUGUUAUUUUUGAUUGACAAAUCUUUAUAUACAUUUUUGGUGUGCAAUGUGAUGUUUUGAUAUAUGUAUA
rnacentral:lncRNA from 1 species